rnacentral:rRNA from 1 species
GUAGGUGGCAAGCGUUGUCCGGAAUUAUUGGGGCGUAAAGCGCGCGCAGGCGGUUCGUUUAAGUCUGAUGUGAAAGCCCACGGGCUCAACCGUGGAGGGUCAUUGGAAACUGGAGAACUUGAGUACAGAAGAGGAAAGCGGAACUCCACGUGUAGCGGUGAAAUGCGUAGAGAUGUGGAGGAACACCAGUGGCGAAGGCGGCUUUCUGGUCUGUAACUGACGCUGAGGCGCGAAAGCGUGGGGAGCAAACAGGAUUAGAUACCCUGGUAGUCCACGCCGUAAACGAUGAGUGCUAAGUGUUAGGGGGGUUUCCGCCCCUUAGUGCUGCAGCUAACGCAUUAAGCACUCCGCCUGGGGAGUACGGCCGCAAAGGCUG